UGGGGAAUAUUGCACAAUGGGCGCAAGCCUGAUGCAGCCAUGCCGCGUGUAUGAAGAAGGCCUUCGGGUUGUAAAGCACUUUCAGCGGGGAGGAAGGCGAUAAGGUUAAUAACCUUGUCGAUUGACGUUACCCGCAGAAGAAGCACCGGCUAACUCCGUGCCAGCAGCCGCGGUAAUACGGAGGGUGCAAGCGUUAAUCGGAAUUACUGGGCGUAAAGCGCACGCAGGCGGUUUGUUAAGUCAGAUGUGAAAUCCCCGGGCUCAACCUGGGAGCUGCAUCUGAUACUGGCAAGCUUGAGUCUCGUAGAGGGGGGUAGGAUUCCAGGUGUAGCGGUGAAAUGCGUAGAGAUCUGGAGGAAUACCGGUGGCGAAGGCGGCCCCCUGGACGAAGACUGACGCUCAGGUGCGAAAGCGUGGGGAGCAAACAGG
rnacentral:rRNA from 1 species